CUAGGACUACGACUGGGGAGUCGCCAUUUGUGUUGACCUACGGAUGUGAAGCCAUGGUUCCAAUAGAGGUUGGAGCUGGAUCGUUCAGGCGAGAUUACUUUGAAAAGCGAGACAACGACGUCAACCAAAGACUUUACUUGGAUAUGAUCGAAGAAAUCCGAGCUACCUCGCAGAUACGACUAGCUGCAUACCAGCAGAGAACAGCGAGGUAUUACAACAGCAAAGUAAAGGCUCACCCAUUCCAAGUAGGGGAAAGUGAACAAAAUCAUUAAACACACCUUGAAGACAAAGCUGGAGGAUAGCAAGAGAAACUGGCCAGAGGAACUCCUCAUGGUGCUAUGGUCUUACAACACAACUCCUAGGACUACGACUGGGGAGUCGCCAUUUGUGUUGACCUACGGAUGUGAAGCCAUGGUUCCAAUAGAGGUUGGAGCUGGGUCGUUCAGGCGAGAUUACUUUGAAAAGCGAGACAACGACGUCAACCAAAGACUUUACUUGGAUAUGAUCGAAGAAAUCCGAGCUACCUCGCAGAUACGACUAGCUGCAUACCAGCAGAGAACAGCGAG
rnacentral:lncRNA from 1 species